ACUACUUUGGCAGAAUAGUGCACUAGGUUUAGAACCUAAGUAAGAAUUUAAGGUUCAGGUAGUA
rnacentral:tRNA from 1 species